rnacentral:rRNA from 1 species
GACGGAGGAUGCAAGCGUUAUCCGGAAUGAUUGGGCGUAAAGCGUCCGCAGGUGGCAGUUCAAGUCUGCUGUCAAGGACCGGGGCUUAACUUCGGAAAGGCAGUGGAAGCUGAACAGCUAGAGUAUGGUAGGGGCAGAGGGAAUUCCUGGUGUAGCGGUGAAAUGCGCAGAUAUCAGGAAGAACACCAAUGGCGAAAGCAGCUUUCUGGGACGGUACUGACGCUGAGACGCGAAAGCGUGGGGAGCGAACAGG